UAUGGAGUUGAGGAUUUGGU
rnacentral:siRNA from 1 species